rnacentral:rRNA from 1 species
CCUACGGGUGACAGCAGUGAGGAAUAUUGGUCAAUGGACGCAAGUCUGAACCAGCCAUGCCGCGUGAAGGAAGACGGCCCUAUGAGUUGUAAACUGCUUUUGUACGAGGGUAAACGCAGAGACGUGUAUCUGUCUGAAAGUAUCGUACGAAUAAGGAUCGGCAAACUCCGUGCCAGCAGCGGCGGUAAUACGGAGGAUUCAAGCGUGGUCCGGAUUUAUUGGGUUUAAAGGGUGCGCGGGCGGAAGCGGCAAGUCAGCGGUAAAAUUGCGGGGCCCAACCUCGCCGAGCCGUUGAAACUGCUCUUCGAGAGUGGGCGAGAAGUAUGCGGAAUGCGUGGUGUAGCGGUGAAAUGCAUAGAUAUCACGCAGAACUCCGAUGGCGAAGGCAGCAUACCGGCGCCCAACUGACGCUCAUGCACGAAAGCGUGGGGAUCGAACAGGAUUAGAUACCCCGGUAGUC